rnacentral:sRNA from 1 species
UUUUGGGUUAGGGAUAGCAACGGCAUCCUUUUGUGUUUUUCUUUAAAAAACAAAAGAUACAGUGGAAAGCCCGGCCGCAG